AGGGUAGAGCUGAGUAGGGAUGUAAAAGUGAGGCUCUUGGAUCAGGAGGAUGCUUCAGUUUGGGGUCCCUCAGCUCCGCAUGUAGACCUGGUGUUUAGGGAAGUUUACUUUUGAGGUGCCAUUUCAAUUGGGUUGACCCUCUCUACAAGAAAUUCCCCUCUACUUCUGGAAGCUUUUGUUGCAGUUAGAUUUGAGCAUGGCUCUCUCUGCUUCUAGAGCUCCCUGGGAGGACUCAUUCAGAGGCAUGAAGCAUUGGGUGGGAAGAAAGAUCCUGCUUUCCUGACCAGGGGAAUUGUAAAUGUGCAUCAAGAUGGAAACCACAGCUCUUCUGAUUGUCUGGAGAACCCUUCUUGUUUCAUGCUCAACAGAAGUCAUCAGUGACCUGUGUUGGAGUGCAGCAAUCCUGGCUGUCCUUGCUGAAAUGUUCAGCUGCUUUCAUAAAGAGAGACAGGUGUAUCCAGCUGGGACCCAUUCAGGCUAACACUUCCUCUUCUCUUCAGUCCCACUGCUUUUCAUUGUCUCUGAUGAGGCUUCAGGCCUAUGGCUCCCACCAGGCUUUUUGAAAAUCACUGCUGAAAGUGAGCAAGUGCUGCUCAGCCACUCU